UGGGGAAUAUUGGACAAUGGGCGGAAGCCUGAUCCAGCAACGCCGCGUGAGGGAUGACGGCCUUCGGGUUGUAAACCUCUUUCAGUACCGACGAAGCGAAAGUGACGGUAGGUACAGAAGAAGGACCGGCCAACUACGUGCCAGCAGCCGCGGUAAUACGUAGGGUCCGAGCGUUGUCCGGAAUUAUUGGGCGUAAAGGGCUCGUAGGCGGUUUGUCGCGUCGGGAGUGAAAACAGCGGGCUUAACUCGUUGCUUGCUUUCGAUACGGGCAGACUAGAGGUAUGCAGGGGAGAAUGGAAUUCCUGGUGUAGCGGUGAAAUGCGCAGAUAUCAGGAGGAACACCGGUGGCGAAGGCGGUUCUCUGGGCAUUACCUGACGCUGAGGAGCGAAAGUGUGGGGAGCGAACAGGAUUAGAUACCCUGGUAGUCCACACCGUAAAACGUUGGGCGCUAGGUGUGGGGUCCUUUCCACGGAUUCCGUGCCGUAGCUAACGCAUUAAGCGCCCCGCCUGGGGAGUACGGCCGCAAGGCUAAAAACUC
rnacentral:rRNA from 1 species